UACACGUCUGUAGCAAAACAGACUUACACAGCACUAUGCAAAACGAGCCACAAAUCGAUAACGUCAAACAAUCGGAACUUCUAACUCAUGAACAAAAUAAACAGCUGUAACAACUAUGAAAAUGUAAACAACAAAGAUCGGGCCCCGGUUCCGGACCCAGCGUACCCGCCCAACCAUGAGACGAGCACCUACACUCGUCUCCCUCAUUUUGUAAAUUAGAUGGCCAUCAGCCUGUGCCGGCUGUUAUGCCAAUUCUCCCCAACGAAGGAAAUUUAACCGAACAUUUCUCUCAUCAGAUACGCUAUUUCGAAUCUCUUACAAGAGGAUAUUUGGUUAGCUUCACAGCACUAAGUGGAACAGGCGACGAAAUUCUACCAGGAUACUGCUAGUCGCCGCAAAAACAAAACACGCACGAAGGAAAUUUGGAUGCAAACGUUGCGCCAAUUUAGGACCAAUGUGCCCACACAACUACGCAAAACUGGGUAUGCCACGAAUAUCGGUCGUGCAACAGAGCUCUCUGGGGGAGGUAAGGGGCGAUGUAAAUGGAUAAUUCCAAUUAGGCGCAGAUGCAUCACCUUUGGAAAUUCCGUCAACGUUCGCACUCUUAAGUGAAACUCGGCGUAAGUGCCUAUGGAGUACGGUCAGGAGACUCCAUCAUAUCUCUGCCAAGUGCUCGAACGAGGAUGGGCAAAAAUGAAACGGACUCACUCGGAGGAUGUGGGCGUGGUCUCGCCUGUGACCGCUUCUUCGGUGUUGGCGUCCGGUCCGUGAUGGCUCGUCCGUCCGUCCCGUGGAUUACGCCGACAUUUGGCUGGCGGCGUCGGGGAUAUGGCUGGUGUGUGCCGCUGAGGUGCGGGAGCUGGUCCCUUUGUUGCCGGAACCGUUAAUUUUUUUUUUUUUUUGCUUGUCUCGUCGCACUUAGGUUUUAAGUUCUUUCUUUUGCAAUACCUUAGCAC